rnacentral:rRNA from 1 species
AUUGAACGCUAGCGGCAUGCCUUACACAUGCAAGUCGAACGGCAGCACGGGAGCAAUCCUGGUGGCGAGUGGCGAACGGGUGAGUAAAGUAUCGGAACGUGCCCAGUCGUGGGGGAUAACGUAGCGAAAGUUACGCUAAUACCGCAUACGAUCUAUGGAUGAAAGCGGGGGAUCGCAAGACCUCGCGCGAUUGGAGCGGCCGAUAUCAGAUUAGGUAGUUGGUGGGGUAAAGGCUCACCAAGCCGACGAUCUGUAGCUGGUCUGAGAGGACGACCAGCCACACUGGGAGUGAGACACGGCCCAGACUCCUGCGGGAGGCAGCAGUGGGGAAGUUUGGACAAUGGGCGAAAGCCUGAUCCAGCCAUGCCGCGUGCAGGAUGAAGGCCUUCGGGUUGUAAACUGCUUUUGUACGGAACGAAAAGGUUUGGGCUAAUAAGCUGAGCUCAUGACGGUACCGUAAGAAUAAGCACCGGCUAACUACGUGCCAGCCGCCGCCGUAA